UUCCUUGUCGAGGGGUGGGAGUAAUCGAGGGACUGCUUCCGGGUUGCUGGGUGACCUUGAACCUUCGGGAGAAAGAUGGCGAGUCUCUGGCGGCUGGGUGUCCUGUGUGGUGCGCAAGGAGGCCGAGCUCUGUUUCUCCGAAUUCCAGUAGUCAGACCUGCUUAUGUCUCAGCAUUUCUCCAGGACCAACCUACCCCAGGACAGUGUAGAACACAGCACAUUCACCUGUCACCCAACCACCAUGCUGGUUCCAAGGCUUCAUCUCUCCACUGGACUGGUGAGAGGGUGGUCAGUGUUUUGCUCCUGGGCCUAAUUCCAGCUGCUUAUUUGAAUCCCAGCUCUGCGAUGGACUACUCCUUGGCUGCAGCCCUCACGCUCCAUAGUCACUGGGGCCUUGGACAAGUGGUUACUGACUACGUUCAUGGAGAUGCUUUGCAGAAAACCGCCAAGGCAGGAGUUUUGGCCCUGUCAGCUUUAACCUUUGCUGGGCUGUGUUAUUUCAACUAUCAUGAUGUGGGCAUCUGCAAAGCUGUUGCCAUGCUGUGGAAGCUCUGACCUUUUUGACUUAAUACCACGAGAAUUGAUUGUACACCUCUUUGCCUCUGCUCUGUCAUGCCAUUGAACUCACAAUAAGGAGGAAAUAACAGAUAAGUCCAUUGCAACAUAGUAGAGCUGGCACUGGGCGCAUUUCCCUGAGGACCUUACUGCGCAGCUGAGGCAAGCCAUGGAAGCGCGGCUGGCUAGAAGGGUAAGUGUGUUCACGAAUGUCUGUACUAGGGGUUAUAGGUAAGCUCCCCUUAAUGUGCUAACAGCCUUGUCAGAGACUCAGAUGUGUAUUAAGGGUUUAGGAAGAGGCGAUUAAUUCUCUUUUGGGGGUCGCUUAAAUGUUUGCAAGGGCACGAUGCCUGAAUACCAGUGGUUCACCAGGGACUGUUGGUGGAGGACCUAUCUGCCUUGGCAGGGAGAAAUAAAAUAUUAGUAAUAAUAUUACUAAUGAAAUAGUAAUAAAGCUUACAUUGUUUAGAAUUGGUGUUCUUGGGGCACCUGGAUGGCUCAGUCGGCUAAGCAUUUGACUUUGGCUCAGGUCGUGAUCUCACAGUUUGUGCAUUUGAGCCCUGCAUCGGGUUCUCUGCUGUCAGCGCAGAGCCCGCUUUGGAUCCUCUGUCCCUGUCUCUCUCCGCCCUGCCCCAUUCUUACACGAGCUUUCUCUUUCUCAAAAAUAAAUAAACAUUAAAAAAAAAAAAUUGCUGGUUCAUGAUGAUCAUAAAAAACAGACUGACCUUUAUUCGGUUUUAUUGUUGGCCUUAAGUUCUCUGUAGACAAUAAUUCCCCCUUCGUGUCAUUCCUCUCUUCCCCCUCCCCUCGCCCCCGGAACAGUACUGUAAAAUAGAGUUUUCCAUAUAGUUGAAAUGGGGAGGGCCGGAAUUGGAGAAUAUCACCAACACCAUCACACCACAGUUUGGGUCUGGAGAGGUGUCUAAUGCUAAUAAGCUUCAUUAGAUGGUGAGUGAGAAGUAAGAGGGUUAGGCUGGUUGGGUACUGCCUGCCCUAAGGUCCCAGCUGAGCUGUCGCUGUGGCAGAUUGUUGGGUUGCUAUGAGCUGCUGGCGCAGCAGGUGAAAAUGAGGCAGGGCCUGUUGCAGUAGGUUUCUGAGAGUAAGUAGGACCUCGUCACAACUGUGUUUCAGAGAGAACUGGGGUGACGUGAGGAAAGCUGACAAACUAGAUGCAGAAGGACGUGUAUGAGGAUAGAGGAAGAAAGGGCCUGUACUCUGAUGGCGGCAGCGGGACAUAGGAGUCAGUUGUAAAGGUAUUGUAGAAAUGAAAUACAUUUAUCUGACAGGUAUUAAGUACCUCAUGUAAUGUGUACCAUGGAUAAAGAGGUGAGUCCUCUGACUUUAAAAGGAGUUCAUAGUCUAAUCCGGACAACAGAUAAGUGAUGGCAGUACACUGUGGUAAGUGCAAUAACAGUUAAGCACAUCAAGCAGUGAUAUAACAAAGGGCACACUAAGAAUUUGCUUGCAAGUUUCCUGGAAGAUUCUUGACCUGGUUUCUGAAAGAUAAAGAGCUGACAAGUAGCCACGGAAGCUGGGGUGAAUUGUGAGGGCCUCUAGAGGGUAGACCAAGCAGAAGUGCACACAAGCUGGGGAGGGGCUAAGAGAGAGAGACAGGGAAGGAGGCAGAGGAUCCGAAGUGGGCUCUGUGCAGACAACAGAGAGCCUGAUGCGGGUCUCAAACUCGUGAACCAUGAGAUCAUGACCUGAGCUGAAGUUGGAUGCUUAACCGACUGAGCCACCUAGGCACCCCGGUCAGAUGUUUAUUUUAAAUAGGUUUUGCUGGCAGCUAUGUGAAGUACGCAUUUGAGGGAGGUAAGCAUGGAAAUGUUAAUGUU